AGUGGCGGACUGGUGAGUAGCGCGUGAGCAACCUGGCUAUAAGAGGGGAAUAACAGUUAGAAAUGACUGCUAAUACCGCAUAAGCUGAUAAAGUCGCAUGAUUUAGUCAGAAAAGGAGCAAUCCGCUUAUAGAUGGGCUCGCGUCCGAUUAGCUAGUUGGUGGGGUAGAAGCCUACCAAGGCGACGAUCGGUAGCCGGACUGAGAGGUUGAACGGCCACAUUGGGACUGAGAUACGGCCCAGACUCCUACGGGAGGCAGCAGUCGGGAAUAUUGCGCAAUGGAGGGAACUCUGACGCAGUGACGCCGCGUAUAGGAAGAAGUUUUUCGGAAUGUAAACUAUUGUCGUUAGGGAAGAGAAAGGACGGUACCUAAGGAGGAAGCCCCGGCUAACUAUGUGCCAGCAGCCGCGGUAAUACAUAGGGGGCAAGCGUUAUCCGGAAUUAUUGGGUGUAAAGGGUGCGUAGACGGGAAAUUAAGUUAGUUGUGAAAUCCCCAGGCUCAACUUGGGAAUUGCAACUAAAACUGGUUUUCUUGGGUACUGGAGAGGAAAGUGGAAUUCCUAGUGUAGCGGUGAAAUGCGUAGAUAUUAGGAGGAACACCAGUGGCGAAGGCGACUUUCUGGACAGAAACUGACGUUGAGGCACGAAAGUGUGGGGAGCAAACAGGAUUAGAUACCCUGGUA
rnacentral:rRNA from 1 species